rnacentral:rRNA from 1 species
GACGAACGCUGGCGGCGUGGAUUAGGCAUGCAAGUCGAACGGUAUCAUCCUUUCGGGGGUGAGAGAGUGGCGAACUGGUGAGUAACACGUAGGUUAUCUACCCUCAAGACGGGGACAACCCAGGGAAACUUGGGCUAAUACCGGAUGUGAGCAACUUUUAGUUGUUUGAAAGGUGGCGUAAGCUGUCGCUUGGGGAUGAGCCUGCGUCCUAUUAGUUAGUUGGUGAGGUAACGGCUCACCUAGGCAAUGAUAGGUAGGCGGCCUUAACGGGUGGUCGCCCACACUGGGAUUGAGAUACGGCCCAGACUCCUACGGGAGGCAGCAGUCGAGAAUAGUCUACAAUGGUCGGAAGACUGAUAGUGCGACGCCGCGUGAACGAUGAAUCCCUUCGGGGUGUAAAGUUCUUUUAUAUGUGAGCAGUGCUUCUUAUAUUAACAGUAUGGGGAAGAGAUAUUAGCAUAUGAAUAAGCAACGGCUAACUCCGUGCCAGCAGCCGCGGUAAUCUCG